GAUGAACGCUGGCGGCAUGCCUAACACAUGCAAGUCGAACGAAGCACUUGAGUAGCUUGCUAUGAGAGUGACUUAGUGGCGAACGGGUGAGUAAUGCAUGAGCAACCUGCCCUUCAGUGGGGGACAACAGUUGGAAACGACUGCUAAUACCGCAUAACACUUCCGGAAGGCAUCUUUUGGAAGUCAAAGAUUUAUUGCUGAAGGAUGGGCUCAUGUCUGAUUAGCUAGUUGGUGAGGGAACGGCUCACCAAGGCGACGAUCAGUAGCCGGUCUGAGAGGAUGAACGGCCAUAUUGGGACUGAGAUACGGCCCAGACUCCUACGGGAGGCAGCAGUGGGGAAUAUUGGGCAAUGGGGGAAACCCUGACCCAGCAAUGCCGCGUGAAGGAAGAAGGCCUUCGGGUUGUAAACUUCUUUUACCGAGGACGAAACAAAUGACGGUACUCGGCGAAUAAGCUCCGGCUAACUACGUGCCAGCAGCCGCGGUAAUACGUAGGGAGCAAGCGUUAUCCGGAUUUACUGGGUGUAAAGGGCGCGUAGGCGGGAUGGCAAGUCAGAUGUGAAAUCUCAGGGCUCAACCCUGAAACUGCAUUUGAAACUGUCGUUCUUGAGUACUGGAGAGGUUGACGGAAUUCCUAGUGUAGCGGUGAAAUGCGUAGAUAUUAGGAGGAACACCAGUGG
rnacentral:rRNA from 1 species